CAUCUGUGCAUCAGAGGCUCAUAUUGACAUGGUGCUCUUUGAAAUAUGAUACUCACGACUCUCCAUCUCAGGGGAACUAUGCAGAGGGAGGAUGCAGCAGGAAGCAUGAGAAGGCUCUGUGGAUGACAUGACAUUGGAAAAGGAAAUGGAAUCAUAGCUGAUCACAUAGCGCACUAUUGACACGGCCACACGCACCUGAGUUCUGGCUGUAAAAGACUACAUUUUCUGUCUUCCUUUUCAUGGCUAAGUGAUCCAGUUCUGACCAGCAGGAUGUGAACCAAAGAGCUACUUCCAGAUCAUGAUCAUAAAAGAAAUGGUUAUGGACUGGCCUUGGCCUUUCCUCCUUCCCUCUGGCUGGGAUACAGACCUAAUGGUGACAGAGAAGAGAUACCUUAGACUCAGGAUAGAAGCCAUCUGUUAAGUAUGGCAGGACCAUCCUAUUGGCCUUAGACUGGCUACCUCCAGACUAUAAGGGAGCUACUUUUUUUGAAAUCAACAUAUUUUUGGCUCUGU